rnacentral:rRNA from 1 species
GUGAGGAAUUUUCCGCAAUGGUCGCAAGACUGACGGAGCAACGCCGCGUGCAGGAGGACGCUUUUCGGAGUGUAAACUGCUUUUCUGUGGGACGAGUUUGGACGGUACCACAGGAAGAAGCCCCGGCUAACUACGUGCCAGCAGCCGCGGUAAUACGUAGGGGGCGAGCGUUGUCCGGAGUUACUGGGCGUAAAGGGCAUGCAGGCGGUUCUGCGCGUUUCGAGUGACAGCGGGUGGCUUAACUACCCGAGGGUUCGAAAGACGGCAGGACUCGAGGGCCAGAGAGGGACACGGAAUUCCGGGUGGAGUGGUGAAAUGCGUAGAGAUCCGGAGGAACACCGAAGGCGAAGGCAGUGUCCUGGCUGGCGCCUGACGCUGAGAUGCGAAAGCUAGGGGAGCGAACGGGAUUAGAAACCCUUGUAGUCC